AUGUAAAUUUUUGUUAAUUUUAUUUUAUUUUAAAAAUAAAAUUGUUUAAUAUUGCAAUAAUUGAUAUUAUUAAUUAAAGAAAUUUAGAAAUAGUAAUAUCUAAAAGUAUUGACUAAAUUUGUGCCAGCAGUCGCGGUUAUACGAAUAAUACAAAUAAUUUUUUUUAGUUAUAGUUUAAUUAAAAUUAAAAUAUAAAAUAAAUUUAUUAGGUGAAAUUUUUUUAUUUAUUUAAUAUAUAUAUAUAUAUAUAUUUAUAUAAAUUGAAGCUAAAAAAUUUUAAUUAAAAACUAGGAUUAGAUACCCUAUUAUUUAAAAUAUAAAUUUAAAAAUUAAGGUAGUAAUAGUUAUGUUCUUGAAACUUAAAAAAUUUGGCGGUAUUUUAGUCUAUUCAGAGGAACUUGUUUUAUAAUCGAUAAUCCACGAUGGACCUUACUUUAAUUUGUAAUAGUUUAUAUACCGUCGUUAUUAGAAUAUUUUAUAAGAAUAUUAAUUUUCGUAAUUUAAUUUUUUAAAAAAUAUCAGAUCAAGGUGUAGCUUAUGUUAAAGUAAAAAUGAGUUACAAUAAAAUUAUUUAAAUGGAUAUAAAUUUGAAAUAUUUAUUGAAGGUGGAUUUGAUAGUAAAAUUAUAAAGAUAAAUAAUUUGAUUUUAGCUCUAAAAUAUGCACAUAUCGCCCGUCACUCUUAUUAUUAAGAUAAGAUAAGUCGUAACAUAGUAGAUGUACUGGAAAGUGUAUCUAGAAUG
rnacentral:ncRNA from 1 species